UACGGGGGGGGCAAGCGUUGUUCGGAAUUACUGGGCGUAAAGGGCUCGUAGGCGGCCAACUAAGUCAGAUGUGAAAUCCCUCGGCUUAACCGGGGAACUGCAUCUGAUACUGGAUGGCUUGAGAUUGGGAGAGGGAUGCGGAAUUCCAGGUGUAGCGGUGAAAUGCGUAGAUAUCUGGAGGAACACCGGUGGCGAGGGCGGCAUCCUGGACCAACACUGACGCUGAGGAGCGAAAGCCAGGGGAGCAAACGGG
rnacentral:rRNA from 1 species